GCUCCGGCCCCUCCUCAGGGCCGCGGCUGAAGCCCCGGGCGCCGGCCCCGCCUGCGGGAGAGCUCCUCAGCGCCCGGCCCCCUCGCCGCUGCGAGAAACGGCGGCGGAGCGGACGGAGCCGCCUCCGGUCUCGGUGGCCCGCGGGAAGCUGAAACACCCGCUCGAGGUGCGCGAGGCGGGGGGAGCGGUGAGCGGGGCCCGGCCCUAACGGCCCCCGCCUCCCCCGUGGCGGAGCAGCUCCGCUUCACCCGGCCCGUCGCUCCUAACAACGUCAACCGGGUCUCGAACUGCUGCUCGAACACGGGCCCCAAGCAGGGCCGAGGCAGCCCUAAGGCCAAGGAAGGAGAGGCGGCCCCGGCCUCGAUGUCAGGCCCUGCAACCGGGACAAGGGCAAACGCUGACGGAAGGGAGCAGCCACUAUCCCUAACAAACCCCAAAGCCCCGGGGUUGUACAAACAGCAGCAGUGCAUGCCCGGUUAUGAAGAGGCCCUGGGAUAAGUCCAGGGUUCGCAGCUGUUCCCUCCCGUCAUUGCCAGAUGCCUUGCAGUCCAGUUUUGCAGGAGGAGAAAAGAAUGAAGCAAUUCAGCAUUACAGCGAGAGAUUACAAGGCCAGCAAAUUCUGCCAAGACAAAAGUAGCCGAGGAUGAUGGAGAACGCAGUGGUGUAAUCCAUUUGGCCUCCCCAGCAACUCCUGCAAGCAAAUUACAGAUGCUAUUUGAAAAGUGGAAGAUCUGUACAAUCCUGAAAUACCAAACACAUUGCCAGAUUAAGGAAAACUGCUCUGACAGACACCCUAUGAGGAAGCAAGGAAAGCAAGAAAUUCAAAAUUAAACAGAUUUGCAAUCAGUCUUCACCUCCCCACCCCUAAACAACCUCUAAACAAUCCUCAGUCAUCCUGGAGAGCAAAGUCAAGUUCCCACUGAACUGAUUAAAUAUUUUAAUAGAACAGCUGCACAUCAGAGUAUCGUAAAUCACUAUUUUACACUGCUAAGAGGACUGUAGCAUAUAACUGCUUCUUAAGUUUUUAUUACAGCAGGAAGGAUCACAGGGCUUCGCAUUUCCCAUUCUUCUGCCCUAAUUAUUAUCAGGUUUUUCAGUAUGCACAAACACCAGGAGUUUAAAGAAAAUGCAGACAAAACUCAAGGUAAUAGUAAUAAAAUUUUUUUUAAAAAAAAGCUUCUUCCUCAAGAAAUCCUCUGCCAUUCUUCACUUCAAACUGCUUUGUAAUCUUCAUGCAAUUCACAUGACAUCCGUCACCACCAAAAAAGCCUUACCAUGAAUUUGGUGUCACCUUUCGACAGCAUAUCUGUGACAAAGUGGACUUUUUCCAGUUGUUCUACAACUUGAUGCAGAAGUUUUGACUAGGAACAGUGACAACACAGAAGAAGAAAUGAUUUCACAAAUAACAAGAGUAUCUUGCCCAUUUACUAGACAAUGGCCCACAUAAGUACAGGACGUCACUAUAAUUGCAUGUA